GUCCUUGCGCUUGGGGCAUUACUGUGACAAAUGAGGCUAAGCCGAUGUGCAGUUAUUGCUGGUUGAAAACUAAAUCCAAGACCCCGUGAUGUUGACUUUGUCUUCAUCCAAUUUUUGACAGCCUGCAAAAGG
rnacentral:snRNA from 1 species